GCCCCUAUAGUUCAAUGGAUAGAACAAAAGAUUUCUACUCUUUAAAUGAGGGUUCAAUUCCUUCUGGGGGUA
rnacentral:tRNA from 1 species